AUUGAACGCUGGCGGCAGGCCUAACACAUGCAAGUCGAACGAGUGGCGGACGGGUGAGUAAUGUCUGGGAAACUGCCCGAUGGAGGGGGAUAACUACGGGAAACGGUAGCUACAACCGCAUACAAUCGGUUGUGCACAGAUGGGUUUAGUCAGUAGGUGGGGUAACGGCUCGACUGGGCGACGAUCCCUAGCUGGGCUGAGAGGCUGACCAGCCACACUGUAACUGAGACACGGUCCAUACUCCUACGGGAGGCAGCAGUGGGGAAUAUUGCACAAUGGGCGCAAGCCUGAUGCAGCCAUGCCGCGUGUAUGAAGAAGGCCUUCGGGUUGUAAAGUACUUUCAGCGAAGAGGCGUUACUCGCAGAGGAAGCACCGGCUAACUCCGUGCCAGCAGCCGCGGUAAUUC
rnacentral:rRNA from 1 species